rnacentral:rRNA from 1 species
AUUGAACGCUGGCGGCAUGCCUUACACAUGCAAGUCGAACGGCAGCACGGGGCAACCUGGUGGCGAGUGGCGAACGGGUGAGUAAUGCAUCGGAACGUGCCAUUGAGUGGGGGAUAACGUAGCGAAAGUUGCGCUAAUACCGCAUAUUCUGUGAGCAGGAAAGCAGGGGACCGCAAGGCCUUGCGCUCUUUGAGCGGCCGAUGUCAGAUUAGCUAGUUGGUGAGGUAACGGCUUACCAAGGCGACGAUCGUGUAGCGGGUCUGAGAGGAUGAUCGCCACACUGGAACUGAAACACGGUCCAGACUCCUACGGAGGCAGCAGUGGGGAAUUUUGGACAAUGGGCGCAAGCCUGAUCCAGCCAUGCCGCGUGAGUGAAGAAGGCCUUC